rnacentral:lncRNA from 1 species
AAAGAUUUGCACUGAGGCUAGAGAUUUUGGUGCAGAGGUACUUGGCUAGGAGACUCUAGACUAAGGAAACAUGUGUCAGUCAUACUCAGACCAAGUAAGGGCCAGGAAAUUCUUCAUCUAUACUUAUCUAUGAUUUAAGGUAAUUCUUGUUAUUGAAGUUGGUCAGGCAAAGGAAAGAAGAGGAAGUAAAAGUCAGCCUUGUGGGCCAGUGAUGCACUUUUUGAAGAAGGACUUGAUUUUGGUGCUGGCCAAGGUCCCGGGAGCCGGAAGAGGAGCUCUCCAAACUCCUAAAGAAACCACAACAAAGGCUCUUGCCGUAGUUUUUUCUCCUCUCCCUCUGCCUCCUGACUGACCCUGGUGCUUCCCCAUGUGGACCCAUGUGCAUGGCAAGCCCCCUUCUCUUGGAAUCUGGAGAGAACUGUCAGAAAGUCAGUCUUUGUUGGUAUGAAGGCAGCGUCCUCCACAAAGGGUCUUUCUGGAGGCAACUGGGGCUGAGAGCAGUGCCUGUCACAGAGGUGGUCAACAAGUAUCUGAAACACUUCAGGAUAGGAUUUGAAAACAC